rnacentral:rRNA from 1 species
AGCUCCAGCAGCGUAUACUAAAGUUGUUGCAGUUAAAAAGCUCGUAGUUGGAUGUCGGUUCACGAACCCCGGCGUCGUCGGGUCAAACCGCGCGUCGGGUGGGCUAAGCGUCGGUGCGGUGACUCUCUAGUCGCCGCUACUGACCGGCCCGACCCUGUCGGCCGUCGGAGGCUCAAACGCCUCUCCUCGCGGGGAGGCGCUCCGGCGCGUUUCCGAUCUUUACUUUGAAAAAAUGAGAGUGUUCAAGACGGGCUACAUAUGCCUGAAUAGCGAAAGCAUGGAAUAAUGGAAUACGAGCUCCCCGCCUUUCGGCGGGAGGCUAAUGAUGAAAAGAGACGGUCGGGGGCAUUCGUAUUGCGGCGUGAGAGGUGAAAUUCUUGGACCGUCGCAAGACGAACUGGUGCGAAAGCGUUUGCCAAGGACGUUUUCA